UAUUUUAUGAUGAUGAUCAUGUUUAAAACUUUAAAUAUUGCUGCUGCUGCUAAUAAUAAUAACAAAUACACACACUGUUAGAGAGUAAAAUGUAGUAUCAACCAUCCGAAUUCACAACAGAUAAAUGUUGUUUUGAAUACUUCAAGAGAUUAAUAUAAUGGUCCUGUUUAUUGAUUAGAUCCAAAUCGAUUUAGACUUACAAGACAAACAACAUUCGGAAGACGGCACAUAGAGACUUGGACAAAAAUAUCACCCCUCCUAUGGAUGAUAGGUUUCCUCAGACAGUUUUUUAAUUCGGUAGCAAAAGUUGAUUAUCUCACCUUGAGACAUGGUUUUAUCUCGGCUCUCUUGUCAACCAGGAACGUCAACCAUUUCAAUUUCCAAGAAUACAUACAGCGAUCCUUAGACGACGAUUUCAAGGCCGUUGUUAGCAUUAGUCCUUUAAAGUGGUUUUUGGUGGUAAUUUUCUUGCUGCUGGACGUACAUGGUUGGAAUGUAUAUCACUGGAUUUCCUAUGUUCCACUCGUGGUAAUUAACUAAAUUUAUUCAAGCAUUGUUACUGAUUUUAUUACAACGGAAAUGGUAUAUACUGUAACUAUCGGUAGCCAUAUCUGUGCUC